UUUGGAAAGUUUUUAUAUUUUGUUAAUAGAAAUAGAAAUUUUUAUAUUUUUUAUUAUUAGGAAUUUCUAUUUUGUUAAAUUGUAAGUAUCUAUCUCAAUAAGAGAUUAUUAAUAUUCAAAUGAAAGUGAUGAAAGAGAGUAAAUAUUUUAAUGCUCAAUUAUAUUUUAAUGUUAUUUUUUUUUACAUAAGAGUUUAUUUAUGUUUUCAAUUUUGAAGUUCCCUUUCCAAGUCUAGUAACAAAAGUAGUGUCCAACCUUAAAAUGGGCAUGUGUGGUAUUGACGGGAGAUAAUAAGAUGGAAAUCAUAACCAUAACCAUGUUCUCUCUAUGUCUUUCUAUCCUAUUCAAUUAAUUCAUGGGCAUAGAUAUUUUAUUUAGUUUUUAUAUUUAGUUUAUUUAUAGUUUAUUUAGUUUCUAAAAUCCAAUUAGCUAGAUAUUUUAUUUGAUUUUGUUUUUAUAUUUAAGUAGUUGAGUUUUGGAAAGUUUUUAUAUUUUGUUAAUAGAAAUAGAUAUGAGGACUUAAAGGGUUUAUAUUUAGGUAGUGCUUAAGCCAAGGAAAAUGAUAGUCCACUAUCUUGACCCUAUGCAUCACAAACCAUGUGAGGACUUAAAUGACAUCGUAAACAUGGCUCUUCGAAUAUUUGCAAAGAAAACAUCUAAGAGGGAGCCAUCUUAGCAACUAGUGCAGUGUCCAAGACAAGAAGGAGGGUUCGAAUGUGGCUACUUUGUU